UACGAAGGGGGCUAGCGUUGCUCGGAAUUACUGGGCGUAAAGCGCACGUAGGCGGAUUGUUAAGUCGGGGGUGAAAUCCCGGAGCUCAACUCCGGAACUGCCUUUGAUACUGGGGAUCUCGAGUCCGGAAGAGGUGAGUGGAACUCCGAGUGUAGAGGUGAAAUUCGUAGAUAUUCGGAAGAACACCAGUGGCGAAGGCGGCUCACUGGUCCGGUACUGACGCUGAGGUGCGAAAGCGUGGGGAGCAAACAGG
rnacentral:rRNA from 1 species